AUAAAAUCCAGGAGUACCUUUCCAUUCUUAUCUGGCCAGUGGGGGGGAAAAAAAAAAACAUGCCUUUCUUCAAGGAGACUCCAAAAUCCAGUAACUAAACUCUCAGUACUUAAAAGAAACCAUGUUCUCCCCCAGAAUCUUACCAAUCUAUCUACUGUGACUCUAGCACUCAAUGAAUUAACCAUUUGUUGUCUUGGAGAAAGGAAAUACUUUUAUGUGGAGAGUUACAGAACCACCCAACCCUGCUAUUCCUUCUAUAACCACCAAAGUGAUUUUUUUUUAAUACCAGGGUUUGAACUCAGGGGUAUUCGACCACUGAGCCACAUCCCCAGCCUUAUUUGUAUUGUAUGCUCUCACUAAGUUGCUUAGUGCCUCGCUUUUGCUGAGUCUGGCUUUGAAUUUUUCAUCCUCUUGCCUCAGCCUCCCGAGCCACUGGGAUGCAUGUGUUCACCACCGUGCCCAGCUCCAAAGUGAUCUUUUUAAGACAAUAUGAUUUUUUUGCUUGAACCUCUCUGCCCAACCAAGCCUAGUCUUUAGUCCUUCAAUAUCCUAAGAAUCUCAUCUCAAAUAAUUGUUAUUAAAUAAACUCUCAAACCAUUCUUUUUUAAAAAUAUUUUUAUAGGUGGACACAAUAUCUGUAUUUUAUAUUUAUGUGGUGCUGGGGUUGAACCCAGUGCCUCACGCAUGCUAAGUGAGCCCCCUCUACCUCUGAGCCACAACCCCAGCCCCUCAAACCAUUCUUCAUGACCCUUUUCCCAGCAAUAAUGUCAAUCUCUACUUCUAGAUUAUAAACUUGAGUUCAGUUUUGCUUUCUUCUGCCGUUCAGAGCCUUGCUUAGUAGUGCCCAACCACGUUUUGUUUGGGUACUGGGGAUUGGACCCAGGGGUGCUUUGCCACUGAGCUACAUCCCCAGUCCUUUUUAGAUUUUUUUUAGACAGGGUCUCACUAAGUUGCUUAGGGCCUCCCUUGCUAAAUUGCUAAGGCUAACCUCAAACUUGCGAUCUUCCUGCCUCAGCCUCCCAAGGUGCUGGGAUUACAGGUGUGCACCACUGCACCUAGCUAGUAGUGCCUAACACAUAUUAAGGUCAUUUUGGGGGUUCUCUGUGUGUGUGGUGCCAGUGUCCUGCCGGCACCCCAACCCAGGUAGUUACCUGCCCCACUCCCCACUACUGGAGUUUGAACCCAUGGCUUUGUGCACGCUAGGCAAGAGCUGUACCAUUAAGCUACAUACCCAGCACUCACAGCUUUUCUUAUGGGAGGUGGGUACUGCAAAUUGAACUCAGGGUGCUUUACCACUGGUAGAUCCCUAGUUCUUUAUUUUUGGGGACAGAGUCUCACUACAUUAUUGAGGCUAGCCUUGAACUUGCAAUCCUCCUGCCUCAGCAUCCCAAGUUGUUGAGACUACAGGGGUACACCACCACACCCUGCUCUAGGGAGUAUUUUCAAAAUCAUUUCUCAUUAGGAAUAGCUAUUUUCAAGAAAUAAGUAUCACUACUGAAGUAGUUCAAUUUAGCAAAUCCUUUAUGUAAGCUUGCUACCUCAACUACUUACUAGACUUACUUUUUAUUUUUUUGGCAGCAGCGGGGUAGGGUACUGGAGAUUUAACCCAAAGGUGCUUUACUACUGAGCUACAUCUCCAGCCCCUUUUAAAAACUUUUGAAAUACAAGGAGUCUAAAUUGCUUAGGGCCUUCUAAAUUGCUGAGGCUGGCCUAGAGCUUGCAGUCCUCCUACCCCAGCCUCCUAUCACUGGGAUUAGACAUGCGCCACUGUGCCUGGCCUUACUAGACUUCUUAAGUCAUCAUUACUUUUCAGUUACUCAUCCACUUUUUUCUCAGCAACCAACAUAUCUUCAUUGAACAUGUUUGCCAUGGAAGCCUUCAUUAUCACUUGGCAUUUUCAUUUGCUUAAAUGCACUGCUCACAUCUUUCUUAACUUCUGUGUUGUAACAAUGCCCUUAACCCACUGUACUCUCUGCCUCUACAGACAGGCAUCUCCCAAAACCUAUGUGCAUAGCUGUCAUUUCACUUACACAAUAAACAUCUCC
rnacentral:lncRNA from 1 species